GAAGAGGGAAACAACCCAGACCGCCAGCUAAGGUCCCAAAGUCAUGGUUAAGUGGGAAACGAUGUGGGAAGGCCCAGACAGCCAGGAUGUUGGCUUAGAAGCAGCCAUCAUUUAAAGAAAGCGUAAUAGCUCACUGGUCGAGUCGGCCUGCGCGGAAGAUGUAACGGGGCUAAACCAUGCACCGAAGCUGCGGCAGCGACACUAUGUGUUGUUGGGUAGGGGAGCGUUCUGUAAGCCUGUGAAGGUGUGCUGUGAGGCAUGCUGGAGGUAUCAGAAGUGCGAAUGCUGACAUAAGUAACGAUAAAGCGGGUGAAAAGCCCGCUCGCCGGAAGACCAAGGGUUCCUGUCCAACGUUAAUCGGGGCAGGGUGAGUCGACCCCUAAGGCGAGGCCGAAAGGCGUAGUCGAUGGGAAACAGGUUAAUAUUCCUGUACUUGGUGUUACUGCGAAGGGGGGACGGAGAAGGCUAUGUUGGCCGGGCGACGGUUGUCCCGGUUUAAGCGUGUAGGCUGGUUUUCCAGGCAAAUCCGGAAAAUCAAGGCUGAGGCGUGAUGACGAGGCACUACGGUGCUGAAGCAACAAAUGCCCUGCUUCCAGGAAAAGCCUCUAAGCAUCAGGUAACAUCAAAUCGUACCCCAAACCGACACAGGUGGUCAGGUAGAGAAUACCAAGGCGCUUGAGAGAACUCGGGUGAAGGAACUAGGCAAAAUGGUGCCGUAACUUCGGGAGAAGGCACGCUGAUAUGUAGGUGAAGCGACUUGCUCGUGGAGCUGAAAUCAGUCGAAGAUACCAGCUGGCUGCAACUGUUUAUUAAAAACACAGCACUGUGCAAACACGAAAGUGGACGUAUACGGUGUGACGCCUGCCCGGUGCCGGAAGGUUAAUUGAUGGGGUCAGCGCAAGCGAAGCUCUUGAUCGAAGCCCCGGUAAACGGCGGCCGUAACUAUAACGGUCCUAAGGUAGCGAAAUUCCUUGUCGGGUAAGUUCCGACCUGCACGAAUGGCGUAAUGAUGGCCAGGCUGUCUCCACCCGAGACUCAGUGAAAUUGAACUCGCUGUGAAGAUGCAGUGUACCCGCGGCAAGACGGAAAGACCCCGUGAACCUUUACUAUAGCUUGACACUGAACAUUGAGCCUUGAUGUGUAGGAUAGGUGGGAGGCUUUGAAGUGUGGACGCCAGUCUGCAUGGAGCCGACCUUGAAAUACCACCCUUUAAUGUUUGAUGUUCUAACGUUGACCCGUAAUCCGGGUUGCGGACAGUGUCUGGUGGGUAGUUUGACUGGGGCGGUCUCCUCCUAAAGAGUAACGGAGGAGCACGAAGGUUGGCUAAUCCUGGUCGGACAUCAGGAGGUUAGUGCAAUGGCAUAAGCCAGCUUGACUGCGAGCGUGACGGCGCGAGCAGGUGCGAAAGCAGGUCAUAGUGAUCCGGUGGUUCUGAAUGGAAGGGCCAUCGCUCAACGGAUAAAAGGUACUCCGGGGAUAACAGGCUGAUACCGCCCAAGAGUUCAUAUCGACGGCGGUGUUUGGCACCUCGAUGUCGGCUCAUCACAUCCUGGGGCUGAAGUAGGUCCCAAGGGUAUGGCUGUUCGCCAUUUAAAGUGGUACGCGAGCUGGGUUUAGAACGUCGUGAGACAGUUCGGUCCCUAUCUGCCGUGGGCGCUGGAGAACUGAGGGGGGCUGCUCCUAGUACGAGAGGACCGGAGUGGACGCAUCACUGGUGUUCGGGUUGUCAUGCCAAUGGCACUGCCCGGUAGCUAAAUGCGGAAGAGAUAAGUGCUGAAAGCAUCUAAGCACGAAACUUGCCCCGAGAUGAGUUCUCCCUGACUCCUUGAGAGUCCUGAAGGAACGUUGAAGACGACGACGUUGAUAGGCCGGGUGUGUAAGCGCAGCGAUGCGUUGAGCUAACCGGUACUAAUGAACCGUGAG
rnacentral:rRNA from 1 species